rnacentral:rRNA from 1 species
AGAGUUUGAUCCUGGCUCAGAAUCAACGCUGGCGGCGUGCCUAACACAUGCAAGUCGAACGCGAAAGUCCCGCAAGGGAUGAGUAGAGUGGCAAACGGGUGAGUAACACGUGGGUGACCUGCCUUCGAGCGGGGGAUAACGUCCCGAAAGGGACGCUAAUACCGCAUGACAUCCUGCCUUUGAAGAGGUGGAGAUCAAAGCCGGGGAUCGCAAGACCUGGCACUCGAAGAGGGGCCCGCGCCUGAUUAGCUAGUUGGUGGGGUAACGGCUCACCAAGGCAACGAUCAGUAGCCGGCCUGAGAGGGCGGACGGCCACACUGGGACUGAGACACGGCCCAGACUCCUACGGGAGGCAGCAGUGGGGAAUUGUUCGCAAUGGGCGCAAGCCUGACGACGCAACGCCGCGUGGAGGACGAAGACCUUCGGGUCGUAAACUCCUUUCGAUCGAGACGAAUGGCUUUCGGGUGAACAAUCCGGAAGAAUGACGGUACCGAGAGAAGAAGCCCCGGCUAACUCCGUGCCAGCAGCCGCGGUAAUACGGGGGGGGCAAGCGUUGUUCGGAAUUACUGGGCGUAAAGGGCUCGUAGGUGGCCAACUAAGUCAGACGUGAAAUCCCUCAGCUUAACUGGGGAACUGCGUCUGAUACUGGAUGGCUUGAGUUUGGGAGAGGGAUGCGGAAUUCCAGGUGUAGCGGUGAAAUGCGUAGAUAUCUGGAGGAACACCGGUGGCGAAGGCGGCAUCCUGGACCAACACUGACACUGAGGAGCGAAAGCCAGGGGAGCAAACGGGAUUAGAUACCCCGGUAGUCCUGGCCCUAAACGAUGAAUGCUUGGUGUGGCGGGUAUCGAUCCCUGCCGUGCCGAAGCUAACGCAUUAAGCAUCCGCC